CUGCCAAUCCACGAUAAACUUUAUACAUUGUACAUAUAGUCGACAUACAUAUACAUACAUAUAUACACAUAUACAUAUGCAUAUAUACGUAUAUUUUUAAUAUGCCAAAAACAAAAAAAGCAAAGCGAAAAUCAAGUUAUAGUCCUUAAGAAGAAAGAGCAGAAAACGAACAACAGCAAAAUAAGAAACGCAAUAAAAGUAAAUUUAAGUCCACGAAUGGGCAGCACUGUUGUGCCGCAAAUGGGCAGCACUCUUUUUGGCGCAAAAUCAAACUACAAAAACGCAAAAUCAAACUACAAAAAAGACAAGCAAAAGCAGUAAAAUAAAAAGCAAAAAAUACAAUAUGUGGUUCUGGGGAAACAAAGCAUUAACUUUCAAAAAUGACACAAAAUGAUAAACAAAAUGAAUACAACUAACGUUUAAUUGUAGACAAAUUUUAAGUUACACGAAAACAGGCAAACAGCGAAGCAAGUUUUGGCAAGCCGAAUGUUCAAUACUCUUUUCUCGGAGAAGAAGAAGAAACAUUUCAAUAUGAAAUGCAUUUGUAAUUAAUUAAUUAUUAUUCAUGCGAACUUAAAUUUUUUCAACAACAACAACAACAAACAAGAACAAAAACAAGAAGCAUCAAAUCUUGCAAUAAAUAUAUUAUUAUUAACAAUUAAAAAUCAAGCAAAACAACAACCACAAAACGGAAACGAAAAUGAACAAAGAAAAUCAAGUUGAAGCAAAAGACGCAGACGCUGAAAAAGAAGAAGAAGAAGCAUAGUUAAUAAUAUUAUAUUUUGUUAAGCGUUAUUGUAGUGCAAAAUAUAAGCAUAAAAACAAACGAGCAGACGAAAAGAAAACAAAAAACAACAAAUGAAUUAAGUUUUAAGCUGGAUAUUCUAAUAUAAAUAAAACAGCAAGAAGA